CAAAAGUCAGGCGUGAGGAGCUCGUCUACGUCUGCUGCAGUGCUGUGCCGGUAUUAGUUCAUAGUUGUUGUUGUAGAGUGAGGUCAGUUAUUCGUUGAUAUUAUAUAUAAUCAGUUGAGUACAGUGUCAACAAUGUCAGCCGCUGUGAAAAGUACCAGUGGCUUAAAUGUACCCUAUAUGGGAAAAUGCUGCUUCUGCUUCUCCCUCAAAUUUGGUUCUCUGGCCAUUGCUGCUUGUUCUGUGCUUUUCUGGAUUUUUUGUGCUGUUCGAUAUAUUAA